rnacentral:snRNA from 1 species
AUCUGUUCUUAUCAGUUUAAUAUCUGAUACGUCCCCUAUCCGGGGACCAUAUAUUAAAUUGAUUUUUGGAACAGGGAGAUGGAAUAGGGGCUUGCUCCGUCCACUCCACGCAUCGACCUGGUAUUGCAGUAUUUCUAGGAACGGUGC